ACUGUAUGUAUAUAAAUAAAUGAGUAAUUUGCAGUAUAAAUAUUUCAGUUUAAUUUUUAGUUACAAAUAAAUAUUUAAGUUUAAUUUUUAGCGGUAAUAAUAUAAGUUAUAUUUUUGAAACUCUGUAGGUACAUAACCGUUAAAUGUUAAGUCAUUAUCCACAUAUUAUUUUUUUAUUGGUAUAUUUAAACUAUUUUUUUAAAAUAAAAAUUUAAUGACUUGGACCAAUCAUAGAUUGUCAUGUAACAAUUUACUUAACACUUAAUUACCAAAUAUUUUAUUCAAAAAAGAAAAAAUUGCCAAGUACUUACAAAAAUUUUAAAAUUAUAACUUAUGUAUUAUCGGUGGCGGAGCCCGCCACAAAUAUUAGGGGGAAAUUUUUUUUUUUAUAUAAAAAUUACAUUUAUAAAAAAAAUAUUAUUUUUAUUAUAAAAAAAAUAUAAAUUUUAUAGAGACUACAGUAGAUAUAUGAGAAUAAAUAUGAAAAUAUUAUUGUUUUUUUAUGUAUGUAUAUCAACUAUUUAAUGAGAAUGAAUAUUUACUUGAAGUGCAAAUGAGUUAUUCUGUAGUAAAAAUAUUUUGUGUAAGUAUUAUUUAUAGAAAGAUAAAUUAUAAAUUCACAUGUAUAUAUAAUUCUGUAAUGUUCAAAAUAUGAAGGAAAAAUUGCAUAGUACAUUGAGUUUUUUCCAUUUUUUACAUUUAUACUGCUAGAUAGUAUUUUUUUUCCUUUUAUACUGUAUAAUUUUUAAUAUUUUAUACGGCAGUAUACUGCAUUUUAUUAAAAAAAAAUUAUUGUCAUUUUUUGGCUUCCACUUGUCUUCCAAAGAUUAUACCUUUAUAAAAUUUAAUUUUUUUAUAUAGUGUUAAAAAAUUUAAAGUUUGCGUGGUUUAGCCGCCAUUAUCCUAAAAAGAAAAUAUUUUUAAAAUUAUUUUCUUUCUGAUUUUUUAAUUUUUUUUUAAAUAUUUAUAUUAUUUUUUAAAAUUAAUAUUACGUGGACCACUAAAAAUUUACCGCGUGUACAAGUGUGUACACGUGGGCAGUCCACUGUGGCACUUUACUGUGAUUUUCGGACGGAGGGGUACAGAGAAAAAUGGAAUGGGAGUUUAGGUAGUUUUGCCCCAAACAAUCGAUUUUUGUGGUUAAGUGUUAAAAAUUUAAAAUUCAAGUGGUUUAGCCGCCAAUAUCUCUUUUAUAUAAAAAGGUUUGAUGUUGAUAUAUAUAUAUAUACAUAAACCUAUAUACUUUCUCACUAAUUUAUAUAUAUACAGUAGGAUCUAUUCAAGAAUAGACUUUGGACCAAGCAAAUUAUAUUCUAAUUGAGAGGUUAUAACUAAAUAGAGUUAUACUAGAAAAAAAAAUUAAAAUACUAAAAAAUAUCAAUCUAACCAUAAUAACAAUAAAUAAUUAUUAAUACUAUAUUAUAAUAAAAUUAUUUUAGAGUAAAUAUAAUGGUAAUACAUAUGUUACAAUUUGGAAUAAAAUUAUUAAUUUUAUGUAAAUAAAUUUACAAAACAUAUGUAUAUAUUUUAUUAAGAUGUAAUUAUUCUUAUAUAGAGGUAUAUUUUGUUAAUACGGGACUUAGAAAAUGUAUAACUAAUUACAAUUUAGAGGUUAUUCUUAUUUAUAACUGGCCCAAAUUGGGACUUGAUUUUUUUUAUAACAAAUUAGAGGUUAUUCUUGAAUAGAGUAUUCUUAAAUAGAGGUUCAACUGUAUAUUUUUUGAUUUGAUUGAUGCUAUCACCUUAUGAAACAAGUUUUUUUUUUUAUUUAUUUUAUUUUAAAAUUGAUGAUGAUAAGAUGAGACUCACAUGUUCUCUUUCCAUAUUCAUCCUAUUUCCUAUUUUCUCUUUCCAUGUUCAUCUUCUUCUUCAUAGAUUUCUCUCUCUGUUUUUUUUUUUUUCAAAAUCCAUCUCGUUUCUCUUUUUUAGUUUUCUCUCCAUGUUCUUAUUUUAUUUAUUGUUCAGUUCUUCUUCUUUAUCUUCUUUUCAUUUUUUUUUCUUUAUUUUUUUUUGAAGUUUUCAGUCGUAUUUUUUUUGGAAAGAUAAGAGUAUGGUUUUUUUAAUAUGAUUUUCCAGAUCUGGGCUUGUAAAAAUAUAGCUUUUAUUGCAUCAGGGGUUGAGGCUGUGCAGAAAAUGAUUAGUUUUUUUUUUUUUAAUUAUUUUUUAUUCUUUUGUUUUUUAUUUGUUUUAGUGUUGUCUUACGGUUGUUUUCCAUAAUUUAUUUUUUUUGACGUUGAUUUCAUUCUUCUUGCUCCAUCUCAUUGGAAUUAAUGAUUGUUUACUGGGUGUUCUUAUGGUGUUGUGGUGGUUCUAUCCGUGGGUGUGGAAGAUGGAGGCUAUAAAAUACAUUUUUUUCUUCCUUCUCUAUGGUUAUUUUGUGGUUUUUUUUAUUCUGGUUCUCCAAUAUAUACAUUUGAUGAGCUCAUUAGAAAAAAAGUUUUGAGGUGUGUGGUUCUUUUAUGUUUUUCUAAAUGGUUAUAUCUGCUUCUUGUUUUAUAUUUGUUUUUGUGUUAUUUUAGUAAUUUUUUUGUUCUGAUUUUUUAAGAUUGGACUUGCAAAUAUAGCUUCUAUUGUAUCUGGUAUUGAGGAUGUGCAGAACAUUGUUAGUUUUUUUUUUUUUAAUCCUUUUUCCUUUUUUUUUUUUUGUUUGAUUUAUUUUAAUGUUGUUUUACAGUUGUUUUGCUAUGAUUAUUUAUUUGACGUCGAUUUCAUUAUUUUUUCUCAAUCUCACAGGAAUUAAUGGUUGUUUUCUGAUUGUUCUGGUGUUCCUAUUGUGAUCCUGUCCGUGGGUGUAGAAGAUAGAGACCUCAUUUUUUUUUUGUGUUUACAGCAUAAAAGAAAGAAAAAAAAUUUAGCCAAGACAGUAUAAAAGUUAUUUCUGCCGUGUGGCAGUAUUUUUGUAAGUUUCUCAAAAGAAAAAUAUAAAUAAAAAAAAUAUAUUUUUACCAUAUUUUGGCAUAUUUAAGAAAAAUAUGUCUUGAUUUUUUUUUUACUAUUUUGACACAUAUUUUAAAAAAUACGUAUAAAUAAAAAAAUAUGUAUUUUUUUUUAAUUUGAUAAAGUAUAUUGAUAUAAAAAUAUUUAAAAUUUAUACAAAACUAAAUAAAUAAAUAAAUAACAAAUAAAAUACCAAUAUUUAAGAGUGACGAUUUUAUAUGUUCAAGAAAUAAAAGUUUGGAGACCAAUUUGUUAAAAUAUAAAGUUUGAGGAUCGGCUUUCUAAAACUUAAAUAGUUUGAGGAUCAAUUUGCUAAAAAAUAAAGUUUAAGGACCAAUUUACCAAAAUUUAUAGAGAAAUUUGUAGGGAAACCCUCUUAUGUUUUAAUUUUUAUACACUUAAUCCCUUUAUUUUUUUUUUUUGUGGCAAAAUCCCCUUAUGUUUUAAUUUUAAUACACUUAACCCCCUAUCUUUUUUUUAAUGGAAAACCCCCUUAUAUUUUAAUUUUUAUACACUUAACCCCUUUAUAUCUUUUUUUUGGAGAGAAAACCCUCUUAUGUUUAUUUUUCUUUGCAAAUUUGACACGCCAGUUAAAUAUUACCGUUAAAUAUCAUCUGGAUGACUACUGUAUACACUUGUUUAUAUGUGACAGUAAAACGUUGAAGUCGAUACAGUAGUAAUCCAGUUAGUAUUUAACUGUAAUAUCUAACUAAAACUUUAAAUUUGUAAAGAAAAGUAAACUUAAGGAGGUUUUGCCACUAAAAUAAAAGAUAAAGAGGUUAGGUGUAUAAAAAUUAAAACAUAAAGGAUUUUUCUACCAAAAAAAAAAAGAUAAGGGGUUGAGUGUAUAAAAACUAAAUUAUAAGGGGGGGUUUUGCCAUAAAAAAAAAAUAAGAGAGUUAAGUGUAUAAAAAUUAAAACAUAAGGUGAUUUUGCCUCAAAUUGCUCAAAUUUAUAUAAUUUUGGAACCACUCCAAAUAAGCUAAAAAAAUAUAGGGUAUAUUGAUUAAUACCUCUUUUAUUUAUCAAUUAACUAAAUCUACCUCUAAUUUAUAUUUAAUUAAAACAUACCUCUUUCUAUAUGUAGUGUACCCAAAAUACCCUGACAUAAGAGAGUCACACGAAGAGUAUAUUGAAGUGACAAGGGCAAAAUUGGUAAGUGUUUAAAAAAUGAGCUAAAAAUGAUAGACUUUAAAAAAGAAGAUAAAAAUAAAAGAGAACAAUAUAAAAAUAGGGUAUGGUGAAAAAUACCACUUUUAUUAAUCAAUUAAUCAAAUUUACCUCUAAUUUUAUAUUUUAUUGAAACAUACCUCUUUUUAUAUGUAUUGUACCCAAAAUACCCUGACAUAAGAGAGUCACAUGGAGAGUAUCUUGAAGUGACAGGGGCAAAAUUGGUACAAUGUUAAAAAAAAGUAAAAAUGAUAGACUUUUAAAAAGAGGGUAAAAAUAAAAGAAGACAAUAUAAAAAGGGUAUAGGAUAUAAUUUCCUCAAAAAAUAAUUUUGAGAAAAGUCUAAAAAAUGGUAAAACUGAAGUAAGCCCAAAAUUUAGGCCCAGUUGUUUUUCAAGCCCAGCCCACUAAAUUUUCAGUAUGAAGAUGAAGAAGACUCUACUGAGCUUCAAAGUUAUGUCUACGGCCACCACCAUUUGGGUUCCUCUGACAGCCGUAUUUGGAUCCCAGAGAGACCGGUUUCCUUCAUUUUGUCAAGUACCAUAGUCUCGGCAAGGAUUUCAUCCUGGUAAAUUUGAAAAUGGAGCUAAGUUUGUUCAUCUCUCUUUUCGAUUUUUCAUCUAAAGGGAUUUUUGUGGGUUGAUAAUAGGAAAUUGAGAAUUAUGAUGGAGAUUUCGUGUCUUGUUUUGAUACUAUUUCACUAUUAUUAUGCUUAAUUGAUUCUGUACUGUUUGAAAGAUGAAAAGUUUGUUUAUAAUUUCAUAUUUUAGAUGUGUGGUAAUGGAGUACGAUGCUUUGCCCGAUUUAUUGCCGAGCUUGAGAAUGCAUCGGUAACAUAUUUACAUACUUUAUAUUUAUAUAUAUAUAUAUAUAUUUAUAUUGUUGGUUUGAAUCAGCUUGACGACAUUGAUACAGACAAGGUAGCUUUUACUGUCUUACACUAAAUAUUCUGUUGAUUUUGCAUUCUAUUAGAAUGAAGAAAAUCUAAGUUUUAUUCUAAUAUUUGAUCACAAAGGUCACUACACCAGUGCCUAGUUCUUUGCUUUAAUACUACUUUAUUUUUCUUAUAGAGAGACUUAUCUACAAUUUUACAUGGUAACAUGGGAUGCAUCGAGAAUUGUGUAAUUCUAGAUAUCUAUUGCAUAUUUCAUCACAGGAAUAUGUCAUGAUUGUUGCGUCUUUCUCUAUUCUGAGUUCUGGCGUUGGGUCAUGGCCAUUAUCUUUGGCCCUCUUCAUCAGUUUUGUAUUGGGUACUGCUUAUUCAAUCAAUGUGAGGUUAUGUAAUCUCACAUAACCUUUCAUAGACAAUGCCUAAUAAUCAGCCGUUAUUUUGAAAAAUAUGACUUGGUUAUUUCUCAAACUAUGACAAAAGUUUAAGGUGGAAACUUGACAAAUUUGAUUCUCACUUGGUACUUGGUAGCUUUAACACCUUUCAUGUCAGGUGUCCCUUUUGAGAUGGAAGAGAUUUGCUUUAGUUGCAUUGCAGCAAUGUGCAUUCUUGCUGUUCGAGCAGUGAUUGUUCAACUAGUUUUUUUCUUCUUCACAUUCAGGCUAUGUUAUAAAUUAUGUCUGAUUUAUCUUGUUGCGAGCCAAGUUGAACUUUAGAUGUCUAUUUCUACGCAUACUCUGCACCAUCCUAACAUUCUUAUUUCUUAUGCCCAAAGCUGAUUGUCUUCUUAUUUAAUCAAAUUUUAAUAUGAUGAAUUUUCAUAGAUAUGGGAAUCGAGGGUAUAAUUUACAUUUUCAUAGCAUAAAUAAAUAAUGCAAAAAAAUAUGAGAUUAAAAAAUAACUAAAGGUUUGCACUUAAGGUAAGGGUAUUAGGUAGAAACAUAAGGUUUUUGUUUACUUGUGAAUUGUUUGUGUUUUCUGACGUUCAGGUACAAUGGAAAGUAAUGGGUCGAAUUUCCAAAAGCCAAAGAUCCGUUGAUCUGUUCGUUGAUUAGUUGUAGUUUGCCAGAACCUAGAAUAUUGAUAAUUGAAUUACUUGGGCAUUUAUAACAGUGAUUAAGAGCUGCUCUAAAUUAUAUAUAAAUUCAUCACAGAACUCUGCUAUAAAUUGUGUAGCGAGAUGUAUUGCCCACUCAUUUAUUACAGAAUAAUUGAUUUGCUUGAUUGUGAUAUCAUACGAUAUAAUAUGAUUGUCUUAGAAUUGUUAAGGCCAUUAUUGAUAAUAUUGAAUAUAUAUGGCUUAUUACUGCUUGAUAGUUGAUUGAUUGUUUGUUUGCUUUAUGUGAUUACCUGCAUAUUUCUUUUACUGGGUUUAAAAGCUUAAUCCCCUUAUUUUCCCGUCGCAGAAAAAAGUAAUUGAAGUUAAUGGACCUCAAAGGCAGUGUAUGUGCUCGUUGGGGAUUAUAUGACAAGUCAUCCUAGAAAUUUGCUCCACUUAUAUUUUUAUAUUUAAUUAAUUAAUGUUGUUGCUACACUAUUUUAUAUUAUAUAUUAGAUAUUUAUUUAUAUUUUAAACUAUAUGCACAUUAUAAAUUACUUAGUUAAUAUUUAAAGGAAAACGACUGUUUUCAA